UCAAGUAAGUAAGGGCGUACGGCGGAUGCCUUGGCCAUAUCAGCCGAAGAAGGACGCGAUAAGCUGCGAUAAGCUGCGGUGAGGUGCAAGUAACCUUUGACCCGCAGAUCUCCGAAUGGGGAAACCCGGCAGCAGUAGUGCUGUCAUCCUCUAUGAGGAAGGGCACCCGGUGAACUGAAACAUCUAAGUAGCCGGAGGAAAAGGAAUCAACAGAGAUACCCCUAGUAGCGGCGAGCGAACGGGGCAGAGCCCAAACCGGGAUGGGAAACCAAUCCGGGGUUGUGGACUGCUAUCAAAUGCAUGAGUGAAGCAGAAUGAGCUGGGAAGCUCAGCCAGAGAGAGUGAGAGCCUCGUAGGCGUAAGCAAGUGCAUGGAGCAGGAUCCGGAGUACCACGGGACACGAGAAACCCUGUGGGAAGCUGGGGGGACCACCCUCCAAGGCGAAACACUGAUAUGGACCGAUAGCGCAUAGUACCGUGAGGGAAAGGUGAAAAGAACCCCGGGAGGGGAAUGAAAGAGAACCUGAAACCGUAUGUCUACAAGCAGUCGAAGACCUUUAUAUGGUCGACGGCGUGCCUAUUGAAGAAUGAACCGGCGAGUUACUUCAGCUAGCGAGGUUAAGCAGGAAAUGCGGAGCCGCAGCGAAAGCGAGUCUGAACAGGGCGUAUAGUUAGUUGGAGUAGACCCGAAACCACAGUGAUCUACCCAUGUCCAGGUUGAAGCACAGGUAAAAAUGUGUGGAGGACCGAACCAGUGAGCGUUGAAAAGCUUUUGGAUGAGAUGUGGGUAGGGGUGAAAUGCCAAUCGAACGUGGAGAUAGCUGGUUCUCCCCGAAAUAGCUUUAGGGCUAGCCUCAUGGCGAGAGUACAGGCGGUAGAGCACUGAACGGGGUAGGGGCCUAUCCGGCUACUGAACCUAAUCAAACUGCGAAUGGCUGUACUUAUCCAUGGGAGUCAGACUGUGAGUAAUAAGGCCCAUAGUCAAGAGGGAAACAGCCCAGACCAACAGCUAAGGUCCCCAAUGCCGUACUAAGUGGCGAAGGAUGUGGAAUUUCGAAAACAACCAGGAUGUUGGCUCAGAAGCAGCCACCAUUAAAAGAGUGCGUAAUAGCUCACUGGUCGAGAGACUCUGCGCCGAAGAUGUCCGGGGCUAAAGUACGGAACCGAAGCUUUGGCAAUUAACAUAAGUUAAUUGGGUAGGGGAGCGUUCCUGCAUGGGAGAAGCCUGACCGGAAGGACAGGUGGACAGGCAGGAAGAGAGAAUGCCGGUAUGAGUAGCGAAAAGAAGGGUGAGAAUCCCUUCCACCGAAAGCCUAAGGGUUCCUGGGCAACGAUCGUCGUCCCAGGGUAAGUCGGGACCUAAUCCGAGGCGGAGACGCGUAGGAGAUGGACAACAGGUUGAAAUUCCUGUACUGGCUGAGGCCGUUUGAGCGAAGGAGUGACACAGGAAGGAAGGCGCGCGUGCGAUUGGAAGAGCACGUCCAAGCAGGUAGGUCGGGAGACAGGCAAAUCCGUUUCCCAUGAGGCCGAGAUGUGAUGGGGAGCUUCUGGAGACAGAAGCGAAGGGGCUGGCACUAAACUGUCGAGAAAAGCUUCUAGUGAGGACUCAGGCACCCGUACCGAAACCGACACAGGUAGGCAGGAUGAGAAUUCUAAGGUGCGCGGGAAAACCCUCGUUAAGGAACUCGGCAAAAUAUAUCCGUAACUUCGGGAAAAGGAUAACCCAGCGUACGUGAAGUGCAGAAACGCAUGGAGCGGAGAUGGGUGGCAGAAGAGAGGCCCAAGCGACUGUUUACCACAAACACAGGCGUCUGCUAAAGCGAAAGCUGAUGUAUAGAUGCUGACACCUGCCCGGUGCUGGAAGGUUAAGAGGAAGUGUUAGCGCAAGCGAAGCAGUGAAUUGAAGCCCCAGUAAACGGCGGCCGUAACUAUAACGGUCCUAAGGUAGCGAAAUUCCUUGUCGGGUAAGUUCC
rnacentral:rRNA from 1 species